AUUGAACGCUGGCGGCAGGCCUAACACAUGCAAGUCGAGCGGAUGAAGGGAGCUUGCUCCUGGAUUCAGCGGCGGACGGGUGAGUAAUGCCUAGGAAUCUGCCUGGUAGUGGGGGAUAACGUCCGGAAACGGGCGCUAAUACCGCAUACGUCCUGAGGGAGAAAGUGGGGGAUCUUCGGACCUCACGCUAUCAUAUGAGCCUAGGUCGGAUUAGCUAGUUGGUGGGGUAAAGGCCUACCAAGGCGACGAUCCGUAACUGGUCUGAGAGGAUGAUCAGUCACACUGGAACUGAGACACGGUCCAGACUCAUACGGGAGGCAGCAGUGGGGAAUAUUGGACAAUGGGCGAAAGCCUGAUCCAGCCAUGCCGCGUGUGUGAAGAAGGUCUUCGGAUUGUAAAGCACUUUAAGUUGGGAGGAAGGGCAGUAAGUUAAUACCUUGCUGUUUUGACGUUACCAACAGAAUAAGCACCGGCUAACUUCGUG
rnacentral:rRNA from 1 species